rnacentral:rRNA from 1 species
UGGGGAAUAUUGCACAAUGGGCGCAAGCCUGAUGCAGCCGUGCCGCGUGUGUGAAGAAGGCCUUCGGGUUGUAAAGCACUUUCAGCGAGGAGGAAGGCAGUCGUGUUAAUAGCACGGUUGAUUGACGUUACUCGCAGAAGAAGCACCGGCUAACUCCGUGCCAGCAGCCGCGGUAAUACGGAGGGUGCAAGCGUUAAUCGGAAUUACUGGGCGUAAAGCGCACGCAGGCGGUUUGUUAAGUCAGAUGUGAAAUCCCCGCGCUUAACGUGGGAACUGCAUUUGAAACUGGCAAGCUAGAGUCUUGUAGAGGGGGGUAGAAUUCCAGGUGUAGCGGUGAAAUGCGUAGAGAUCUGGAGGAAUACCGGUGGCGAAGGCGGCCCCCUGGACAAAGACUGACGCUCAGGUGCGAAAGCGUGGGGAGCAAACA